GAAGAGAACCCUAUCACUCAGCCA
rnacentral:siRNA from 1 species